GAGUUUGAUCCUGGCUCAGGAUGAACGCUGGCGGCGUGCUUAACACAUGCAAGUCGAACGAACCUUCGGGUUAGUGGCGGACGGGUGAGUAACGCGUGAGAAUCUGCCCUCAGGAGGGGGAUAACGGCUGGAAACGGCCGCUAAUACCCCAUAUGCCGCGAGGUGAAAUGAAUUUCGCCUGAGGAUGAGCUCGCGUCUGAUUAGCUAGUUGGUGUAGGUAAUGGCUCACCAAGGCAUCGAUCAGUAGCUGGUCUGAGAGGAUGAUCAGCCACACUGGGACUGAGACACGGCCCAGACUCCUACGGGAGGCAGCAGUGGGGAAUUUUCCGCAAUGGGCGCAAGCCUGACGGAGCAACGCCGCGUGAGGGAUGAAGGCCUCUGGGCUGUAAGCCUCUUUUAUCAAGGAAGAAGAUCUGACGGUACUUGAUGAAUAAGCCACGGCUAAUUCCGUGCCAGCAGCCGCGGUAAUACGGGAGUGGCAAGCGUUAUCCGGAAUUAUUGGGCGUAAAGCGUCCGCAGGCGGCCCUUCAAGUCUGCUGUUAAAACGUGGAGCUUAACUCCAUCAUGGCAGUGGAAACUGUUGGGCUUGAGUGUGGUAGGGGCAGAGGGAAUUCCCGGUGUAGCGGUGAAAUGCGUAGAUAUCGGGAAGAACACCAGUGGCGAAGGCGCUCUGCAGGGCCAUCACUGACGCUCAUGGACGAAAGCCAGGGGAGCGAAAGGGAUUAGAUACCCCUGUAGUCCUGGCCGUAAACGAUGAACACUAGGUGUCGGGGGAAUCGACCCCUUCGGUGUCGUAGCCAACGCGUUAAGUGUUCCGCCUGGGGAGUACGCACGCAAGUGUGAAACUCAAAGGAAUUGACGGGGGCCCGCACAAGCGGUGGAGUAUGUGGUUUAAUUCGAUGCAACGCGAAGAACCUUACCAGGGUUUGACAUCCUGCGAAUCUCUUGGAAACGAGAGAGUGCCUUCGGGAGCGCAGUGACAGGUGGUGCAUGGCUGUCGUCGGCUCGUGUCGUGAGAUGUUGGGUUAAGUCCCGCAACGAGCGAACCCACGUCUUUAGUUGCCAGCAUUUAGUUGGGCACUCUAGAGAGACCGCCGGUGAUAAACCGGAGGAAGGUGUGGAUGACGUCAAGUCAUCAUGCCCCUUACAUCCUGGGCUACACACGUACUACAAUGCUACGGACAAAGGACAGCAAGUUCGCGAGGACAAGCAAAUCCCAUAAACCGUGGCUCAGUUCAGAUCGUAGGCUGCAACUCGCCUACGUGAAGGAGGAAUCGCUAGUAAUCGCAGGUCAGCAUACUGCGGUGAAUACGUUCCCGGGCCUUGUACACACCGCCCGUCACACCAUGGAAGUUGGCCACGCCCGAAGCCGUUACUCCAACCCUUGUGGAGGAGGACGUCGAAGGUGGGGCUGAUGACUGGGGUGAAGUCGUAACAAGGUAACC
rnacentral:rRNA from 1 species